AUUGAACGCUGGCGGCAGGCCUAACACAUGCAAGUCGAACGAGUGGCGGACGGGUGAGUAAUGUCUGGGAAACUGCCUGAUGGAGGGGGAUAACUACUGGAAACGGUAGCUAAUACCGCAUACCAUCAGAUGUGCCCAGAUGGGAUUAGCUAGUUGGUGGGGUAACGGCUCACCAAGGCGACGAUCCCUAGCUGGUCUGAGAGGAUGACCGGCCACACUGGAACUGGGACACGGUCCAACGUCCCACGGGAGGAAGCGGUGGGGAAGUGUGCACAAUGGGUGAAAGCCUGAUGCAGCCAUGCAGCGUGUAUGAAGAAGGCCUUCGGGUUGUAAAGUACUUUCAGCGGGGAGGCGUUACCCGCAGAAGAAGCACCGGCUAACUCCGUGCCAGCAGCCGCGGUAAUAC
rnacentral:rRNA from 1 species